rnacentral:rRNA from 1 species
GUGCUAUAUAGGAAUUCCUGAGGUGCGGUCGCGGCCCUCGGCGGGAGCAACAGCUACCGUCGGGCGGUAGAGGUAACACUUUCACGCGCCGCAUGUCUGAAUCCUUUUUUUACGAGCACCUUUCGUUCUCCUUCGGCGGGGCAACCUGCCGUUGGAACCUAUCAAAACCUUUUUUUGCAUCUAGCAUUACCUGUUCUGAUACAAACAAUCGUUACAACUUUCAACAAUGGAUCUCUUGGCUCUGGCAUCGAUGAAGAACGCAGCGAAAUGCGAUAAGUAGUGUGAAUUGCAGAAUUCAGUGAAUCAUCGAAUCUUUGAACGCACAUUGCGCCCCUUGGUAUUCCAUGGGGCAUGCCUGUUCGAGCGUCAUCUACACCCUCAAGCUCUGCUUGGUGUUGGGCGUCUGUCCCGCCUCUGCGCGCGGACUCGCCCCAAAUUCAUUGGCAGCGGUCCUUGCCUCCUCUCGCGCAGCACAUUGCGCUUCUCGAGGUGCGCGGCCCGCGUCCACGAAGCAACAUUACCGUCUUUGACCUCGGAUCAGGUAGGGAUACCCGCUGAACUUAAGCAUAUCAA